UAAACGGAGAACUGUGUAUAUAGCGUAAGGAAGAUGUGAAGCAGACAGUAGUUUAACGCUGCUGUGUCCGUACAAAUAACAUGCCCAAACAGAUUUAAUAGUCACAGAGAGAGACAACGAAAGGCAUUCACAAUUUCUCUGAGAUUUUUCAUCGUCAAAUAUUAUGUACAACAUUGUCUCAAUCACAAGUUGAUGCAGUCACCGUGCUUCGCCUGUGUGUCCAAGGGUUUAGUUUUCGUGUGAAACGUCGACAGUAGCUAACAUGUAUGACUUGUACAAGAUUUUGAAUAGGGGGAUAUUUGCAGUUAAUAAAAUAAAAUAUUUCACUUCAGCAGAAGUUGUUGAACAGCUAAAGGAGACCAUACGUAGGGGUGUUCAUGAAAGAUAUUUGCCAGACCCAUUCAAAGUAGGUCAUGGUGGUACUUUAGAUGAUACAGCAACCGGAGUUCUAGUUGUAGGUGUUGGUGAGGGCUGUCAGCUUUUAGCACGAUUUCUACAUGGAAACAAAAAAUAUGUAGUAACAGGAUGUUUGGGUUCUGAAACAACUACAUAUAACGAGACUGGAAUUCAUGUCAAUUCAGCACCUUACGAUCACAUAUCAAAAGAGUCAUUAGAGGAAGCUUUGAUGUCAUUUAGAGGAAAAAUAUUGCAGACGCCUCCAAAAUAUUCUGCGCUAAAGAUGGGUGGAAGAAGAAUAGCUGAUCUGACAAGAUCUGGUAUCAACGUAGAAAUGAAACCACGACACGUUAUGUGCUACAAUGUGAAGUGCACAGAUUUCAACCCACCAUUUUUUAAACUUGCUUUGUCUUGUGGACCUGGCUUUUAUGUACGAAGUUUGGUUCAUGACUUAGGACUUGCCCUGAAGAGCUACGCAUAUGUAACUGAAUUACGGAGAAUACAGCAUGGACCAUUUACAGAGGAUGACAUGCUUGAACCUGAGAAGUGGACAAUAGAAGAUAUCGUGUGUGCUAUUCAACAAGCAUCUGAGAAGUAUGCAGAAUUCUUGCAGAAUUUAAAAAAUGGAGCAAUGGCCGGUUAAGAGAGAAAUUCAUAAAAUGCUUUGAUGUAAGGAAGAGGAUAUAACUCCAAGGUCAAUGAAUGAUACACCCCAUAACAGUUACUACAUGAAGCCAAGCGCCGGCACGCCAGUCGAGGAUGACAAAGCAGAGAGGCUGCGAGAAGAAAUCAACCAACUGCACACUGACUGGACCUCAGGAUGACAAUGCGACAGCAGUGGCCCCUAUGUGAAGAGGACAUAAGUGCCGCGACUGACUGGUGACAGCCCAGUUCGACAGCAGCUUCAAGAUUAGCGACUUGGAUAGCAGCAUCACGAUAGGCACUUUGAUAGCAGUUCAGGAAAGACUUUUGUCAG